CGAUGCCUGUGGAAAAGGGAAAGGAGGAUGAACCCGUGGGCAUGGAGCAGGGCGAACUGGACGAGCGCCAUGGAACUCCUGGACGUCACAAGACGGGACCCAGGACUGCUCAUCCGAACCAUAACCCACCCAGUCCACCAGGUACCACAACCCACCACCCCGGCACCGGGAAUCCAAAAUGGCUGCCACAACAUGGACCAGAUCCCCAUCCACCACCAGCGGAGGAGCUGCCAUUAGGGGCGCCACAGGGGGAUGCAGAGGGCUGUACUAAAAACCAAGGACACACUGAAAGGGCGUUGAGACGGAGAGAGGAAUUGAUAAUGGAAUUCUGGGCAUAGUCUGCCCAAGCGAGGUUGCGGCUCCAGUCGUGAGGUUGGCGAGAGCACUGCUGACAGAGACACUUCCCAAUCUCCUGAUUCAGGUGCUCCGUCUGUCCGUUGGUCUCCAGAUGGUACACCGUGGAGAGACUGAUGGACACACCUGGCUGUUCACAAAAGGCCUGCCAAACCCUUGAGGUUAAUUGGGACCAUCGUUCUGACACAUUCUCUGGUAUGCCAAACUGCCGGAACACCUGCUGAAACACACAUUCCGCCAUUUCCAUCGCUGUGGGCAGGUGGGGAAGAGGGAUUAAUCGACACAUUUUGGAGUGAACCCAGAGGACUCAGGUAAGUCAGUGAUGAAAUCUAUCGUCAGGUGAGACCAGGGCUAAUAUGUUGUGGGUAAGGGUUCUAGCUUACCUGUGGGCAGCUGACAUGGUUUCUUCUAACAGGCGCAGGUGGGACAGGAUAGGACGUAGUCCCAAAUGUCGUCGGCCAACGAGGACCACCAGUGUUGCCUUCUGAAAAUUUUCGUGGUGCCUGUAAUCCCGGGAUGUCCAGACCCGAAGGACGUAUGGCACCACUGCAUAAGCUGAGCGCGAACCGAAGUAGGAACAUAGGUCUUACCCAGGGGUGUGUCCGGUGGUGCUGGGUCUGAUCAUUGGAUGGUGGCCUGGAUGUCCCAUCGCACUGAUAGAGGAGGAUGGGAGGAUAGGGUCUGGAGCGGGAUGAAAGGUUGGUGGGUCAAACUGUCAAGACAAUGCAUCGGCCUUGACAUUACGUUUACCUGGUAUGUAGGUGAUGGUAAAUCAAUUACGUUUGGGCCAAUUACGCACCAAAGUUACCUUGGUCAUCCAUCCCUAAUCCUCCAGGGGUCAACACGGAUCCGAGGAACCACACUAUGGUGACAUGGAACUCGCUUUUCUCCCACUUGACCUACAGGUGAUGGGUGUGGAGCCAAUGCAGGACCUGGCUCACGUGCAAGAUGUGUUCCUGGAGAGAGUCAAAAUAGAUCAGGAUAUCAUCUAUAUAGACAAUGCCAAAGUGGUUGAUUAUGUCGACGAAGAGGUUGUUUAUAAACGACUGAAACACAGCAGGUGCGUUCUUGAGCACAUAUGGCAUCAGCAGGUACUCAUAGUGACCCCUGGGGGUGAUGAAAGUGGUUUUACAUUCAUCCCCCUCCUGUAUCCGGAUCAGGUUGUAUGUGCCUCAUAGGUCCAGUUUGGUGUAUAUGGAGGCUCUACCCACCUGUUCCAGGGCGGCUGGGAUUAUAGGCAGUGGGUACCGGUUCUUGAUAGUCAGAUAGUCCAGAGAGCGGGUUAAUCGAUGCAGGACCGGAGACCACCGUCCUUCUUUCCAACGAAAAAAAAGCUGGAUGUGGCUUGAGACGUGCAUUUCCUCUAGCAUUUCAUCUAUGUGGUGAUUCAUGGCCUUUUGUUCAGGGAUGGACAGAGGAUAGAUUCAACUCUUAGGUGGUGCCAGCCCCAGGAGGAUGUAUAUCACGCAGUCAUAGGGCCGAUGAGGGGUAGAACAGAAGCCUUAGCCUUCGAAAACAUAUCCCAGUACUGAUUAUACACCGCAGAGAUGGGACUGGUGACGGUGAAUGCCAAGUCCUCUAUAGAAAAGGCACAACACAUCGCCUGGAAACAGGAAGGGUACCACUCCGUGAGGUGAGUGACCAGGCCAGUGCUGAGGGGUUGUCCAUCCAGCGAAUUAAUCCUAAAGGGAGGUUGGACAGGGAUUAAUGUGACACCCAAUAGACGUACGAGCUGGACAUCAAUGAAACUGACUGCAGCCCCCGAGUCCAUGAGAGCUGCUAGUUGUCUAGUCUGGACCCGGUUCCGGAGGGUAGCCGGAACGCUUAUUUGACAGUUAGAAAUGUUUAGGAGAACAGAAGCAUCCACCCUGACCGCUGAGGAGGAAGCAUGGUCCGGCGGUCUGGAGGGACAAACUGGGCAGUGGCGAACGACAUGGUCCCCUUCUCCGCAAUACAGGCACAACCGCCCCAAAACCGUUGUUCGCUUUCGGUGGCUGAGAGGGGAGCACACCCCGGCUGCAUGGGUUCCGGACCUCUGGGAGGCGAGGUAACAGGUGGCACCCCAGUGCACGCCGGGUCCACGGAGGACCACACCAGUCGGCGGUCCACCAACAAACAGUCAAUGGCGAUAGACGCCUGUAUGUAUCGGUCGAGAUCAGUGAUGUCCCGUCUGCACGCUAGCUCCGCCUGCAAUUUCCAUUUCAGCCCUUGGCAAUACCCGGGGGAGUAAAGCAGGUUUGCUCCAUCCACUUCCUGCUGCCAGAGUGCGGAACCCUAGUGCAUACUCCGUUGCAGGGCGACGCCCUUGUUUGAUGUUGUACAUCUCAUCCCCGGUGGUACGCCCAGAGGCGGAAUGAUCGAACAUCUCCUUGAACAGCUCAUGAAACCAGGAUUCGGAGGCUAGCUCAGGACUGCGUGCGUUCCACAGAGCGGUGGCCCACUCCAGCACCUUGCCAAAAACCCGACUUCAGCUCAAACCCUGCAACCUGCAAAUUUCCAACCCCGGAAUACAAACUUCCCUACUUCGACUGUUGCACCCGCGGAUAGCUCUGUGUUGUUCUCCUGUGGAGGUCAACAGUGUCCAGCAGGUCAGGAUUGUUCAUCUGCCAACACCUGCUAUGACCCUUGUCAGAGCUACACAUCUCUAAAUGACUCCUGGCGCUCCACCAAUAAUACCGACCAAUCCAACGUACACUGUGACCAGAAUCUGCAGUGGCAGGGCUGGUACCGGAUGUUCCUAGAGG
ensembl:lncRNA